AUUGAACGCUGGCGGCAGGCCUAACACAUGCAAGUCGAACGAGUGGCGGACGGGUGAGUAAUGUCUGGGAAACUGCCUGAUGGAGGGGGAUAACUACUGGAAACGGUAGCUAAUACCGCAUACCAUCAGAUGUGCCCAGAUGGGAUUAGCUAGUUGGUGGGGUAACGGCUCACCAAGGCGACGAUCCCUAGCUGGUCUGAGAGGAUGACCAGCCACACUGGAACGGAGUUACGGUCACGUCUCAUCCGGGAGGCAGCAGUGGGGAAGAGUGCACAAUGGGCGUAAGCCGGAUGCAGCCAGGCCGCGUGUAGUAAGAAGGCCUUCGGGUUGUGAAGUACUUUCAGCGGGGAGGCUUUACCCGAUGAAGAAGCACCGGCUAACUCCGUGCCAGCCGCCGCGGUAAUUC
rnacentral:rRNA from 1 species